GUGGGCUCAAUGUCAUCACAAGGGUCCUUAUAAGAGGGAGGUAAGAGGGUCAAAAUGAGAAAAAGGUGAUAUGACAACAGAAGUAGAAAGAGUUUGGAAGCUAGUUCACUGGAGGCUUUGAAGAUGGAGGAAGGGGCCAUGAGCCAGGAAUGAAAAGGGCUGGAAAAGGCAAAGAAAUGGAUUCUCUCCUGAAACCUCCAGAAGGAACCAGUUUUGCUGACCCCUUAACUUUGGCUGAAUGAGACUGAAUUUGGACUUAAGCUCUCCUGUACCAAAUGAUAGUUUUUGUUUUUCUCUGAUGCUUCCCUGAGAGCACUCGCAAUCGGCUACAGACUAGAGUGAGUGCCUUUGACAAAGAAGACCGGUCUCAGAGCCCUUUGGAAGAGGACUGCAUUAGGUAUUUUUGGGUGCAGGCUUCCGAUGGCCUCAUUUGAACAACUCUGAGACCAUACCAAUGGACUGAAUCAGGAUUUCUAGAAGUCUAAUCAAGACACAGAUGAGUUCAUGAGAGUGCCAACCCCAAAUCCAGUGGACCAAGAAUUAAUUACCUAGGACUGAAUGAAUGGAUCAGGGAUGACGGUGGCUUUUAUUUGGAAUAUUAUUGAUGUUGUUUCAGUGCUCUGUUUUCUGGAUAUAUAAGGAACCUCAUUCUCUUUUCUCUUAAGCUAUCUGUACCUCAUAACAAUUUGGUUGACACUGCUUUGCUAACCAUAAAUGAACCAUUUAUGACUAUUUCAUUCUCCCUCCUUGACUCCUCCAAAAUUCAGAAACUCUUAUGAGUAUUCUUAAUUUCAUAGCAAUAUAAUUAUUUGCAUAGGUUCAGUAAGAAUUUGUCUUCCUUAUUAACAGAACAGAAUUGGAAACAUUGGUUAUGCACUCAAGGCUUUGCCUGGGUUAUCACAUUUGAAAAUGACUCUCAUUUAAUCGGAAAUGAUCUGACACUUUUAAGGAACUAAGGUUGAUUUUAUGGAGCCAAUGGUUACCAAGCCCUAUUGGGAAAACUGUCCUGGUACCUGUCUUACAAAGUUCCCAGUCUUACAGAUAUAAUGCACCCUUCUAGCUUCUUAGACUCCCACCCUAUACAUUGCCUUGGAGCUUCUUGCACCUCCUUGUAAACUGCAGGUACCUGGUGACUGAGCAGACUGUCUUGUCUGAUGAGAUUUCAUUGACUUUCUUCCCUCUCCCCUCAUGGAAAAAACAGUUUUAGUACCUACCUUUAAACUGGACUGGAUCCUGUUGCCUUGUUUGAUUGUCAAUCCUUACCGGAUUUUCAAUUCUUGCAGUUCUGACUGCAAUCCUCCGAACUGACUUUCAAAUUUUCUUCCUCCUGCCUGCCCCAGCAUCACCAAGAACUGAAACUUGACUGCUCAGAUCCCUGUCAGCACUCCUGCUUACCUUGCAGCUGGCCUUUUCCCCCCGAGAAUCUGAAGAAGCUCUGGAGGCUGAAGCCCGGUGACUUGGCGUUAACCUCGAAGGAGCCAGCACUGCAGCAGACCGUGCACGGGCUGGAAUUCUCCCUGGACAAGCCACUGCCGGACCACUGAGGAAGUCCAGCAAAAUGUUCAGGUCAUGCAUGCCCUUGUAUGAGAGAGAGCCAAGACUGUGGACAACGCCACCAAGAGCAGGGACAUCUUAGCUUCAGGAAACUCCAAGAGUGGUGCUGCAAGACUUUCUUCAGCUGACCUCUGGAACCCACUGGACCAGUUAAUUCUCCACAUUCAACUCCUAGCUCUUUACUUCAAUACAACUUUUGUAGUAUUAUUUCUCUGUUUUAGGCAUCCCUCUUUUAAGAUGUCUGAUCUCCAGGACCCUAAAACAACUGACCUUAGCCACCACCUCUCAACAGAUGGUUCAACUGGUUUUAUAGAAACAACCAGCAAGAAUCCUAGGGAAAUUAUUUCUUAGGCCCUGCUUCAUCCCGCUCGAGAGAAAUGACAAACCAGCUAACCACGAAGGACCGCACUGCCCUCAGAGUUUCUAAGAGAAGUCUGAUCUACAUCUUUCCC
rnacentral:lncRNA from 1 species